rnacentral:rRNA from 1 species
AACGAACGCUGGCGGCAUGCCUAACACAUGCAAGUCGAACGAGACCUUCGGGUCUAGUGGCGCACGGGUGCGUAACGCGUGGGAACCUGCACUUAGGUUCGGAAUAACUCCCCGAAAGGGGUGCUAAUACCGGAUAAUGUCUUCGGACCAAAGAUUUAUCGCCUUUGGAUGGGCCCGCGUUGGAUUAGCUAGUUGGUAGAGUAAAAGCCUACCAAGGCGACGAUCCAUAGCUGGUCUGAGAGGAUGAUCAGCCACACUGGGACUGAGACACGGCCCAGACUCCUACGGGAGGCAGCAGUGGGGAAUAUUGGACAAUGGGCGAAAGCCUGAUCCAGCAAUGCCGCGUGAGUGAUGAAGGCCUUAGGGUUGUAAAGCUCUUUUACCCGGGAUGAUAAUGACAGUACCGGGAGAAUAAGCUCCGGCUAACUCCGUG